UACGUAGGGUGCAAGCGUUAAUCGGAAUUACUGGGCGUAAAGCGUGCGCAGGCGGUUGUGCAAGACAGAUGUGAAAUCCCCGGGCUCAACCUGGGAAUUGCAUUUGUGACUGCACGGCUAGAGUGUGUCAGAGGGGGGUAGAAUUCCACGUGUAGCAGUGAAAUGCGUAGAGAUGUGGAGGAAUACCGAUGGCCGAAGGCAGCCCCCUGGGAUAACACUGACGCUCAUGCACGAAAA
rnacentral:rRNA from 1 species